rnacentral:rRNA from 1 species
UGGGGAAUUUUGCGCAAUGGGCGAAAGCCUGACCCAGCAACGCCGCGUGAGGGAUGAAGGCCCUCGGGUCGUAAACCUCUGUCGGGAGGGAAGAACGGUGACGUUUCGAACAGGCUCGUCACCUGACGGUACCUCCAAAGGAAGCACCGGCUAACUCCGUGGCAGCAGCCGCGGUAAUACGGAGGGUGCGAGCGUUGUUCGGAAUCAUUGGGCGUAAAGAGCAUGUAGGCGGCUUGGCAAGUCGGUUGUGAAAGCCCGGGGCCCAACCCCGGAAUUGCAGCCGAUACUGCCUCGCUAGAGUCCCGGAGAGGAAGGCAGAAUUCCCGGUGUAGGGGUGAAAUCCGUAGAUAUCGGGAGGAAUACCAGCGGCGAAGGCGGCCUUCUGGACGGUGACUGACGCUGAGAUGCGAAAGCGUGGGGAGCAAACAGGAUUAGAUACCCGGGUAGUCC